GUUUUUUGGAUUGUCUCUGGAAUUCUUAAUGUGGAGAACAGAGGAAGCCUUAAAAUGCCUGGAAGUGGUGCCUCUGACACAUCUACACUCUGCAAAGAGAAGAGAGCAGUUAGAAGAAGCCUUCUCCUCAUCAGGAUGUCCAUAUGGUUCCAAGUAGGAAGGAUUUCCACAUACAGCUCCAGAGAAACUCCCUCAGCAUUCAUCACUACUGGAUUUGGGAAUGUAAACCUCUUUUAAUGUAUUAUCCUAACUCUUCUGUUAAAGCAGUUCCACUGUGGACUGGAAGAGAAGAACAGGUAAGAUAAGUGGGAAAAUGUU
rnacentral:lncRNA from 1 species